CUCCUACGGGAGGCAGCAGUGGGGAAUAUUGGACAAUGGGGGAAACCCUGAUCCAGCGACGCCGCGUGUGUGAAGAAGGCCUGCGGGUUGUAAAGCACUUUUAGUGGGGAACAAAAAGCUACGGAUUAAUACUCUGUGGUCUUGGUUUAACCCAAGAAAAAGCACCGGCUAACUCUGUGCCAGCAGCCGCGGUAAUAC
rnacentral:rRNA from 1 species